UUGCGGUUAAAAAGCUCGUAGUUGGAUUUCUGCUGAGGACGAUCGGUCCGCCCUCUGGGUGAGCUUGACUCGGCCUUGGCAUCUUUCUGGAGAACGCUACUGCUCUUGACUGUGUGGUGCGGUAUCCAGGACUUUUACUUUGAGGAAAUUAGAGUGUUUCAAGCAGGCGCACGCCUUGAAUACAUUAGCAUGGAAUAAUAAGAUAGGACCUUGGUUCUAUUUUGUUGGUUUCUAGAGCUGAGGUAAUGAUUAAUAGGGAUAGUUGGGGGCAUUCGUAUUUAACUGUCAGAGGUGAAAUUCUUGGAUUUGUU
rnacentral:rRNA from 1 species